AUGCGGGGAGAAUCAGUUACAACAGUAACAUACUUAAUUAAUCCAAGUCUAACAAUAUAGCACUAGAAAGAGUUACCUCAGCCAAACUAUAUGAUACAGAACCAAGAUCAAUGUUGAACAUCUUAGAAUUUUCGGUUCAGAUGCAUUUUUACACAUUCCAACAGAAAAGAGAACUAAAGUGAACAACAAAUGGUUGGAAAAUGGCACACAACGGGUAUGGAAUAUGUUAUGAACUGUUAGAGAAAUUCAAUGUGAUCAACUGCAAACCAAAUGUCAAUGAUAUGCAUCACCUAGCUCCAAUUUUUGAAAUUUCUCCAGCGUAAAGGGACUUGACUAAUAAAUUCUGAAAACUAACCUACAAAUGCC